GUUUAUGGCCAUGCCACCCUGAGCAAGCCCGAUCCCAUCUGAUCUCGGAAGCUAAGCAGGGUCGGGCCUGGUUAGUACUUGGAUGGGAGACCACCUAGGAAGACCAGGUGCUGUAGGCG
rnacentral:rRNA from 1 species